GGGGCACCUNGAUCCAGCCAUUCCGCGGUGGAGUUGAAGAAGGCCCUUCGGGUUUGUAAAGCGUCCUUUCAGCCGGAACGAAANGGUNUGGNCUAAUACCCUGUGCGUAAUGACGGUACCGGNAGAAGAAGCACCGGCUAACUACGUGCCAGCAGCCCGCGGUAAUA
rnacentral:rRNA from 1 species